CCUACGGGUGGCAGCAGUGAGGAAUAUUGGUCAAUGGGCGCGAGCCUGAACCAGCCAAGUCGCGUGAGGGAGGACGGCCCUACGGGUUGUAAACCUCUUUUGCCGGGGAGCAACGUGCGUCACGUGUGGCGCCACUUAUAGUACCCGUAGAAAAAGCAUCGGCUAACUCCGUGCCAGCAGCCGCGGUAAUACGGAGGAUGCGAGCGUUAUCCGGAUUUAUUGGGUUUAAAGGGUGCGUAGGCGGAUCGUUAAGUCAGUGGUCAAAUUGAGGGGCUCAACCCCUUCCCGCCAUUGAAACUGGCGUUCUUGAGUGGAAGAGAGGUAGGCGGAAUGCGUGGUGUAGCGGUGAAAUGCAUAGAUAUCACGCAGAACCCCGAUUGCGAAGGCAGCAUGCCGGCUUCCGACUGACGCUGAAGCACGAAAGCGUGGGGAUCGAACAGGAUUAGAUACCCGGGUAGUC
rnacentral:rRNA from 1 species